ACACUCCUGCGGGAGGCAGCAGUGGGGAAUUUUACGCAAUGGGGGAAACCCUGACGUAGCGACACCGCGUGAGCGAAGAAGCCCUUUGGGGUGUAAAGCUCUGUCAGCUGGAACGAAAACAAUGACGGUACCAGCAGAGGAAGCAUCGGCUAACUACGUGCCAGCAGCCGCGGUAAGACGUAGGAUGCGAGCGUUGUCCGGAUUUAUUGGGCGUAAAGAGUUCGUAGGUGGUUUGUUAAGUUUGGUGUUAAAGAUCGGGGCUCAACCCUGGGACUGCACUGAAUACUGGCAGACUCGAGUGUGGUAGAGGCUAGUGGAAUUCCCAGUGUAGCGGUGAAAUGCGUAGAUAUUGGGAAGAACACCGGUGGCGUAGGCGACUAGCUGGGCCAUAACUGACGCUGAGGAACGAAAGCCAGGGGAGCGAAUGGGAUUAGAAACCCUGGUAGUCCCAUGA
rnacentral:rRNA from 1 species